ensembl:lncRNA
GAGGACAGAGGAAAAAGAACAAAGUGUGAAAAUAGCAAAGUGUGAGACAAGAGGAAGAAGAACACUGCUUUCCUCAUGUGUUUGUUUGUUUGUUUGUUUGUUUCAGAUGCUGAGAGACCAAGCGGUGGACGUCCAGAGAACAGAGGGGGUGGCAGGUUGACAGAGAAAGACAGAGUGGUCGACAUGUUGAAGACAACCGAGCUGAUUGUUUGUGUUCUGGAGCUGCCACAGACUUGCUGUGGAAGCACUUCUUCUUCUUCUUCUUCUUCUUCUUCUUCUUCUUCUUCUUCUUCUUCUUCUUCUUCUUCUUCUUCUUCUUCUUCUUCUUCUUCUUCUUCUUCUUCUUCUUCUUCUUCUUCUUCUUCUUCUUCUUCUUCUUCUUCUUCUUCUUCUUCUUCUUAAUGGAAUUUCAGCCUAAAUAAAAAAAAAAAAAAAAAAAAAAAAAAAAGAGUCCAAACUGCAUUGUGGUCAAUUUUUUGAAAAGAAAAACAGUAAAGUGUG